CCCGCCGUAGCUCAGCGGCAGAGCGCCCGGCUGUAGACCGGGUGGCCGGGGGUUCAAGUCCCCCCGGCGGGA
rnacentral:tRNA from 2 species